rnacentral:rRNA from 1 species
CGCGGCCUAUCAGCUUGUUGGUGAGGUAACGGCUCACCAAGGCAUCGACGGGUAGCUGGUCUGAGAGGACGAUCAGACACACUGGGACUGAGACACGGCCCAGACUCCUACGGGAGGCAGCAGUAGGGAAUCUUGCGCAAUGGGCGAAAGCCUGACGCAGCAACGCCGCGUGGGGGAUGAAUGCCUUCGGGUUGUAAACCCCUUUCAGCAGGGACGAAAAUGACGGUACCUGCAGAAGAAGCUCCGGCCAACUACGUGCCAGCAGCCGCGGUAAUACGUAGGGAGCGAGCGUUGUCCGGAAUUAUUGGGCGUAAAGAGCUCGUAGGCGGUUCAGUAAGUCGGGUGUGAAAACUCAAGGCUCAACCUUGAGACGCCACUCGAUACUGCUGUGACUUGAGUCCGGUAGAGGAGUGUGGAAUUCCUGGUGUAGCGGUGAAAUGCGCAGAUAUCAGGAGGAACACCAGCGGCGAAGGCGGCACUCUGGGCCGGUACUGACGCUGAGGAGCGAAAGCAUGGGGAGCAAACAGGAUUAGAUACCCUGGUAGUCCAUGCCGUAAACGUUGGGCACUAGGUAUGGGAUCAUAUCAACGGAUUCCGUGCCGUAGCUAACGCAUUAAGUGCCCCGCCUGGGGAGUACGG